AAUCCAUAGGUUAAUGAGGCGAACCGGGGGAACUGAAACAUCUAAGUACCCCGAGGAAAAGAAAUCAACCGAGAUUCCCCCAGUAGCGGCGAGCGAACGGGGAGGAGCCCAGAGCCUGAAUCAGCAUGUGUGUUAGUGGAAGCGUCUGGAAAGGCGCGCGAUACAGGGUGACAGCCCCGUACACAAAAGCGCAUGUGCUGUGAGCUCGAUGAGUAGGGCGGGACACGUGGUAUCCUGUCUGAAUAUGGGGGGACCAUCCUCCAAGGCUAAAUACUCCUGACUGACCGAUAGUGAACCAGUACCGUGAGGGAAAGGCGAAAAGAACCCCGGCGAGGGGAGUGAAAAAGAACCUGAAACCGUGUACGUACAAGCAGUGGGAGCACCCUUUGGGUGUGACUGCGUACCUUUUGUAUAAUGGGUCAGCGACUUAUAUUCUGUAGCAAGGUUAACCGAAUAGGGGAGCCGGAGGGAAACCGAGUCUUAAUUGGGCGUUAAGUUGCAGGGUAUAGACCCGAAACCCGGUGAUCUAGCCAUGGGCAGGUUGAAGGUUGGGUAACACUAACUGGAGGACCGAACCGACUAAUGUUGAAAAAUUAGCGGAUGACCUGUGGCUGGGGGUGAAAGGCCAAUCAAACCGGGAGAUAGCUGGUUCUCCCCGAAAGCUAUUUAGGUAGCGCCUCGUGAAUUCAUCUCCGGGGGUAGAGCACUGUUUCGGCUAGGGGGCCAUCCCGGCUUACCAACCCGAUGCAAACUGCGAAUACCGGAGAAUGUUAUCACGGGAGACACACGGCGGGUGCUAACGUCCGUCGUGAAGAGGGAAACAACCCAGACCGCCAGCUAAGGUCCCAAAGUCAUGGUUAAGUGGGAAACGAUGUGGGAAGGCCCAGACAGCCAGGAUGUUGGCUUAGAAGCAGCCAUCAUUUAAAGAAAGCGUAAUAGCUCACUGGUCGAGUCGGCCUGCGCGGAAGAUGUAACGGGGCUAAACCAUGCACCGAAGCUGCGGCAGCGAACGUAUCACUUAAAGCGAUUCAGCGGGUUACGAUUGACGGAGCGAAGCGACGUCAAAGCGUAUACAAAGUCGAGUCGGUUUAAGGAUACGUUCGUUGGGUAGGGGAGCGUUCUGUAAGCCUG
rnacentral:rRNA from 1 species